GGUUCAAGUCCCUCUAUCCCCAUCCCCA
rnacentral:tRNA from 2 species